rnacentral:rRNA from 1 species
UACAGAGACUGCAAGCGUUAUUCGGAUUCACUGGGCGUAAAGGGUGCGCAGGCGGUUUUGUAAGACAGAUGUGAAAUCCCCGGGCUUAACCUGGGAACUGCAUUUGUGACUGCAAGACUAGAGUGCGGCAGAGGGGGGUAGAAUUCCACGUGUAGCAGUGAAAUGCGUAGAUAUGUGGAGGAAUACCGAUGGCGAAGGCAGCCCCCUGGGUCGACACUGACGCUCAUGCACGAAAGCGUGGGGAGCAAACAGG